CGAAAAGCCUGAUGCGAGCAACGCCGCGUGUGUGAUGAAGGCUUUCGGGUCGUAAAGCACUGUUGUAUGGGAAGAACAGCUAGAAUAGGAAAUGAUUUUAGUUUGACGGUACCAUACCAGAAAGGGACGGCUAAAUACGUGCCAGCAGCCGCGGUAAUACGUAUGUCCCGAGCGUUAUCCGGAUUUAUUGGGCGUAAAGCGAGCGCAGACGGUUUAUUAAGUCUGAUGUGAAAGCCCGGAGCUCAACUCCGGAAUGGCAUUGGAAACUGGUUAACUUGAGUGCAGUAGAGGUAAGUGGAACUCCAUGUGUAGCGGUGGAAUGCGUAGAUAUAUGGAAGAACACCAGUGGCGAAGGCGGCUUACUGGACUGCAACUGACGUUGAGGCUCGAAAGUGUGGGUAGCAAACAGGAUUAGAUACCCUGGUAGUCCACACCGUAAACGAUGAACACUAGGUGUUAGGAGGUUUCCGCCUCUUAGUGCCGAAGCUAACGCAUUAAGUGUUCCGCCUGGGGAGUACGACCGCAAGGUUGAAACUCAAAGGAAUUGACGGGGGCCCGCA
rnacentral:rRNA from 1 species